UCUGCAGCCUAGGGAUGACAAGGAGCAGGUGUUUCCUCAGAGCAUUCUUUUCUCUUUUAUAAAAUGGGAAUAACACAGCUACCCUAUGUAUUAGAGAAUGGUUAAAUGUGAAGGCAGAGCCUGCUCAAUUAUCUUGUUACCGUUCUAAACACAUUUAGAAAGAUGAACUGUUGACAGAAAUUCCACAGUAACCUAGCAAAAAUAACACGCAACUGUGGCAACUGUGACCUCACUCAAGUCAGGCACCCACAUGGGUGCAGAGCCAGUAUCUGCUACAGCCGUCGGUCCUGGCCUCACCACACAGCCUUUGGGAAAAAUGCUUACCGAAAAGAUCAGGACCCCAAGUUCAGCAACUUAACCCUUCUGAGAUCCUCAGCAGAUGCUAUGUUCCUUAAGUAAAGGGCAUGGUGUUCUUCAUGCAACUUACACAUCCUCCUCCCAUGGCAGAAACGCCAUGCAAAGAUAAGAAGAGAGUCAGAGAGAACAAAGUCAUGAUGCGCCCAACACCAUGAUCCUCAACGUCUGUUCCAAGGCACCCCAGAGCAUACAGCAAACCCAUGGGAUACUUCCCAAUCCCAGUGAUAGCCGGUAUCUAGUGGACAUCUUGUAAAUGAGUUCCAGGUUGUUCACUUUCAAAACUAUGUGUCACCACAUUCCUUGGAAAAUCCCCUAUCCCCACAAGGGGAGGCCACUGGCAGGUGCUUUGAUAAAAGGAACAGACCACAGAUAAACUACUUAACAUUGGAAACAGUGGAAGUAGUACUGACUGUAAUACAGGAAGGCCAAGGGGCACUAGUCUCAUUUGUUUUCCUGUUGUUGUGGUAAGUACCACAACCAAAAGCAACUCGGAGGAGAAAAUGGUUGAUUUCAUCUUACAAUUAAAACCCAUCGUCAGGGAAAU